GGCUCAGGAUGAACGCUGGCGGUAUGCUUAACACAUGCAAGUCGAACGGAAUGCUUAGGCAUUUAGUGGCGGACGGGUGAGUAACGCGUGAGAAUUUGGCUUCAGGUCGGGGACAACAGUUGGAAACGACUGCUAAUACCGGAUAUGCCGGAAGGUGAAAGGCUUGCUGCCUGAAGAUAAGCUCGCGUCUGAUUAGCUAGUUGGUAGUGUAAGGGACUACCAAGGCGACGAUCAGUAGCUGGUCUGAGAGGAUGAUCAGCCACACUGGGACUGAGACACGGCCCAGACUCCUACGGGAGGCAGCAGUGGGGAAUUUUCCGCAAUGGGCGAAAGCCUGACGGAGCAAUACCGCGUGAGGGAGGAAGGCUCUUGGGUCGUAAACCUCUUUUCUCAAGGAAGAAAAAAAUGACGGUACUUGAGGAAUAAGCAUCGGCUAACUCCGUGCCAGCAGCCGCGGUAAUACGGAGGAUGCAAGCGUUAUCCGGAAUGAUUGGGCGUAAAGGGUCCGCAGGUGGUACUGUAAGUCUGCUGUUAAAGAGUCUGGCUCAACCAGAUAAAAGCAGUGGAAACUACAGAACUAGAGUGCGUUCGGGGCAGAAGGAAUUCCUGGUGUAGCGGUGAAAUGCGUAGAUAUCAGGAAGAACACCGGUGGCGAAAGCGUUCUGCUAGGCCGCAACUGACACUGAGGGACGAAAGCUAGGGGAGCGAAUGGGAUUAGAUACCCCAGUAGUCCUAGCCGUAAACGAUGGAUACUAGGCGUGGCUUGUAUCGACCCGAGCCGUGCCGGAGCUAACGCGUUAAGUAUCCCGCCUGGGGAGUACGCACGCAGUGUGAAACU
rnacentral:rRNA from 1 species